CACGAAAUAUGCUGAUAAAUUGCCUCAACUAUAAUACCGGUAAUAUAUCGAGCAUAUUAAUUUUUGAAUUUAAAACUCAUUCAGAAAAGCCGUGGCGCUAUUCGAUUUUGUGCCGAUCACGCGAUUGCAACAGCAAUGGCUCUUCCAAGAAACUGGUAAAUUUCCUCCGAGCAAUUCGCGAAUGCAGUCACGUAACCAGUAAAAAACUAGAACUGAAAAUAAAAAGAUAAAACUUAAUAUAGCAAAAUGGCAGUAACGUGAAAUUAUGCCUUAAAAUCAAAUUUUACCGAAUUACGCAAC
rnacentral:lncRNA from 1 species